rnacentral:rRNA from 1 species
AUUGAACGCUGGCGGCAUGCCUUACACAUGCAAGUCGAACGGUAGCGGGCGUUCGGUUGCCGACUAGUGGCGAACGGGUGAGUAAUACUACGGAACGUGUCCGAUCCCGGUGGAUAAGGAGUCAAAAGCUGUGCUCAUAGCUCAUACCAGCUACUGAUUAAAACAGCGUGGCUCAAGAGCGAACGCCGACCUAGCUGUCGAUGAUAGAUUGGUUAGUUGGUGAGAUAAUAGCUUACCAAGUCGACGAUUUGUAGCUGAUCUGAGAGGAUGAUCAGCCACACUGGGACUGAGACACGGUCCAGACUCCUACGGGAGGCAGCAGUGGGGAAUUUUCGACAAUGGGCGCAAGCCUGAUCCAGCCACGCCGCGUGCAGGAUGAAGGCCUUCGGGUUGUAAACUGCUUUUGUAAGGAACGAAAAGAUUUCUUUUUAUCCAGGCGGGUCAUGACGGUACCGUAAGAAUAAGCACCGGCUAACUACGUG